UGCAGUCGAGCGGGCGAGGUUGCUUCGGUAACUGAGCUAGCGGCGGACGGGUGAGUAAUGCUUAGGAAUCUGCCUAUUAGUGGGGGACAACAUUCCGAAAGGAAUGCUAAUACCGCAUACGCCCUACGGGGGAAAGCAGGGGAUCUUCGGACCUUGCGCUAAUAGAUGAGCCUAAGUCAGAUUAGCUAGUUGGUGGGGUAAAGGCCUACCAAGGCGACGAUCUGUAGCGGGUCUGAGAGGAUGAUCCGCCACACUGGGACUGAGACACGGCCCAGACUCCUACGGGAGGCAGCAGUGGGGAAUAUUGGACAAUGGGCGCAAGCCUGAUCCAGCCAUGCCGCGUGUGUGAAGAAGGCCUUUUGGUUGUAAAGCACUUUAAGCGAGGAGGAGGCUACUUGGAUUAAUACUCUAGGAUAGUGGACGUUACUCGCAGAAUAAGCACCGGCUAACUCUGUGCCAGCAGCCGCGGUAAUACAGAGGGUGCGAGCGUUAAUCGGAUUUACUGGGCGUAAAGCGUGCGUAGGCGGCUUCCUAAGUCGGAUGUGAAAUCCCUGAGCUUAACUUAGGAAUUGCAUUCGAUACUGGGAAGCUAGAGUAUGGGAGAGGAUGGUAGAAUUCCAGGUGUAGCGGUGAAAUGCGUAGAGAUCUGGAGGAAUACCGAUGGCGAAGGCAGCCAUCUGGCCUAAUACUGACGCUGAGGUACGAAAGCAUGGGGAGCAAACAGGAUUAGAUACCCUGGUAGUCCAUGCCGUAAACGAUGUCUACUAGCCGUUGGGGCCUUUGAGGCUUUAGUGGCGCAGCUAACGCGAUAAGUAGACCGCCUGGGGAGUACGGUCGCAAGACUAAAACUCAAAUGAAUUGACGGGGGCCCGCACAAGCGGUGGAGCAUGUGGUUUAAUUCGAUGCAACGCGAAGAACCUUACCUGGUCUUGACAUAGUAAGAACUUUCCAGAGAUGGAUUGGUGCCUUCGGGAACUUACAUACAGGUGCUGCAUGGCUGUCGUCAGCUCGUGUCGUGAGAUGUUGGGUUAAGUCCCGCAACGAGCGCAACCCUUUUCCUUAUUUGCCAGCGGGUUAAGCCGGGAACUUUAAGGAUACUGCCAGUGACAAACUGGAGGAAGGCGGGGACGACGUCAAGUCAUCAUGGCCCUUACGACCAGGGCUACACACGUGCUACAAUGGUCGGUACAAAGGGUUGCUACCUAGCGAUAGGAUGCUAAUCUCAAAAAGCCGGUCGUAGUCCGGAUUGGAGUCUGCAACUCGACUCCAUGAAGUCGGAAUCG
rnacentral:rRNA from 1 species